rnacentral:tRNA from 1 species
CCGUCGAUAGCUCAGUUGCAGAGCGGUGGACUGUAGAUCCAUAGGUCGCUGGUUCGACUCCGGCUCGACGGA